GAUCCUGGCUCAGGAUGAACGCUAGCGGCGUGCCUAACACAUGCAAGUCGAACGGAGCCAACCGACAGAUUCUUUCGGGAUGAAGUUGGGGAAGCUUAGUGGCGGACGGGUGAGUAACGCGUGAGCAAUCUGCCUUAUGGAGGGGGAUAACACAGUGAAAACUGUGCUAAUACCGCAUAAUAUAUGUUUAUGGCAUCAUAGAUAUAUCAAAGAUUUAUCACCAUAAGAUGGCCUCGCGUCUGAUUAGCUAGUUGGAGGGGUAACGGCCCACCAAGGCGACGAUCAGUAGCCGGUCUGAGAGGAUGAACGGCCACAUUGGGACUGAGACACGGUCCAGACUCCUACGGGAGGCAGCAGUGGGGAAUCUUGGGCAAUGGGGGAAACCCUGACCCAGCGACGCCGCGUGAGGGAAGAAGGUCUUCGGAUUGUAAACCUUUGUGACAGGGGACGAACACAAUGACGGUACCCUGAGAGGAAGCCCCGGCUAACUACGUG
rnacentral:rRNA from 1 species